ensembl:snRNA U6 U6 spliceosomal RNA
AAGUACGGAAGUCUGUGCUCACUCCCCAAAAUCGGAACUAUACAGAGAAGAUUAGCAUGGCCCCUGCACAAGGAUGACAUGCAAAUUUGUGAAGGCUUCCAUAUUUUU